AGCCGCAGUUCGGCUUCUGCUUCAGCGUCACAAUAAAGCAUCAUGGAACACUCUAUCGAGAAAUAUGGAAGUUCUCAGAAAUGCGUAGGUCAUGCAAACUAUAACAUAUCUUCAACACCACUUCGUCGAGCUCGAGAGUAAAACAACACUACUCUGUA
rnacentral:lncRNA from 1 species